rnacentral:misc_RNA from 1 species
AAGUCGUAACAAGGUCUCCGUUGGUGAACCAGCGGAGGGAUCAUUAAAGAGUUGUAAAAAACUCCUUAAAACCCUAUUGCGGAACUUUACUGUUCGUUCUUGCUUAACGGCAGGCGGCCUCCAGGGAGGGGGUCUGAAGCUCAGGCGUGUUCCUGAGUGCCUGCCGGAUGGCAUACUAUAAAACUCUUUAUUGUCUUGUAAUCUGAGGUAAAACAUAAAUAAGUCAAAACUUUCAACAACGGAUCUCUUGGUUCUG